AUUAUUGGUCAACCAUGACUUUCUUGUCUUAUUGCAAAGUUAUUCUGUUUACUACAGAUCAAGAACAGGCCAACUGCUUACAGAGAUAAAGGAGAUAGAGAAAUGAAAACAGCGUAUUUAUAUUGCCAUAUGAAAAAACAUAUCAGAAAAUGCAUAUGAAGACAGGGAAUUUUUAACACGUUGCUUUUGAAAGCUACAAUAGGGGACAAUCGCGAGGCAAAUGUGUCUAAUUACCACCCCCAGGACUUGGGACUGACUCUUCUAAUACUCGAUCAUUGGCAAGAUGAAGACUGAAGAGCCUUUCAUUGUUAGCUAUGGUAUAAGGAUUAUCAGUAGGAGAAGGUGGCGAUGUACUCUCCUUGGGAGUGGUGCUGAGAACAAAAUUCUCCUUGAAAGAAGGUACUUCUUUCUUCGCCAUGGUUGUCAGCUUUCUACCUUCCAAAUUUGGUGCUUGGCAAAUUAAAGAGAAAACAAAGAUAACCCAAACAAGCCUUAAACGAGUCAUUUUUGGAAAGAGGGAUAAGUUACGGAGAGUUUCUAAAUCGUGAUAAGUAACUUGUGUUGCAAUUUAAAUUGAUGAUGAAGCCUUGAAUGGG
rnacentral:lncRNA from 1 species